GCCCGGUGGGGCCCCUCGGUCCCCGCGUCCCUGUGUGCCGCGGGGCUCCGGACCAAAGUGACCCUGCUGGAGCCCGGGGGCACCUCCAGCCCCCCGGGGGUCCCUGCGCCUCCUCUGCCGAGCGUCCGGGUUCAGUUUCGGCAGUUACCCCAUGUUCUGGGUCCGCCAGAGACCCGGGCAGGGGCUGGAAUUCAUCGCAGGGAUCAACGGUGACGGUUCCAACCCGAGAUACGCGCCCUCGGUGCAGGGCCGGUUCAGGAUCUCCAGGGACAACGGGCAGAGCUCGGUGACGCUGACCAUGAACAGCCUCAAGGACGAGGAUUCCGGAUCCUAUUUCUGCGCCAAAAACGCUUAUGAUGAAUCCUCGUCCUUGAGGCUGUUCAUGGUCAGCGUCACCGAGCUCUGCCCGUUGUCCCUGGAGAUCGUGAACCGGCCCUGCACCGAGGGCGAGUACUCAGUGUAA